GGAUGAACGCUAGCUACAGGCUUAACACAUGCAAGUCGAGGGGCAGCAUCAUCAAAGCUUGCUUUGAUGGAUGGCGACCGGCGCACGGGUGAGUAACACGUAUCCAACCUGCCGACAACACUGGGAUAGCCUUUCGAAAGAAAGAUUAAUACCGGAUGGCAUAGUUUUCCCGCAUGGGAUAAUUAUUAAAGAAUUUCGGUUGUCGAUGGGGAUGCGUUCCAUUAGGCAGUUGGCGGGGUAACGGCCCACCAAACCAACGAUGGAUAGGGGUUCUGAGAGGAAGGUCCCCCACAUUGGAACUGAGACACGGUCCAAACUCCUACGGGAGGCAGCAGUGAGGAAUAUUGGUCAAUGGACGAGAGUCUGAACCAGCCAAGUAGCGUGAAGGAUGACUGCCCUAUGGGUUGUAAACUUCUUUUAUACGGGAAUAAAGUGAGCCACGUGUGGCUUUUUGUAUGUACCGUAUGAAUAAGGAUCGGCUAACUCCGUGCCAGCAGCCGCGGUAAUACGGAGGAUCCGAGCGUUAUCCGGAUUUAUUGGGUUUAAAGGGAGCGUAGGCGGGUUGUUAAGUCAGUUGUGAAAGUUUGCGGCUCAACCGUAAAAUUGCAGUUGAUACUGGCGACCUUGAGUGCAACAGAGGUAGGCGGAAUUCGUGGUGUAGCGGUGAAAUGCUUAGAUAUCACGAAGAACUCCGAUUGCGAAGGCAGCUUACUGGAUUGUAACUGACGCUGAUGCUCGAAAGUGUGGGUAUCAAACAGGAUUAGAUACCCUGGUAGUCCACACAGUAAACGAUGAAUACUCGCUGUUGGCGAUAUACAGUCAGCGGCCAAGCGAAAGCAUUAAGUAUUCCACCUGGGGAGUACGCCGGCAACGGUGAAACUCAAAGGAAUUGACGGGGGCCCGCACAAGCGGAGGAACAUGUGGUUUAAUUCGAUGAUACGCGAGGAACCUUACCCGGGCUUAAAUUGCAACUGACUGAACCGGAAACGGUUCUUUCUUCGGACAGUUGUGAAGGUGCUGCAUGGUUGUCGUCAGCUCGUGCCGUGAGGUGUCGGCUUAAGUGCCAUAACGAGCGCAACCCUUACGGGUAGUUACCAUCAGGUUAUGCUGGGGACUCUACCCGGACUGCCGUCGUAAGAUGUGAGGAAGGUGGGGAUGACGUCAAAUCAGCACGGCCCUUACGUCCGGGGCUACACACGUGUUACAAUGGGGGGUACAGAAGGCAGCUACACGGCGACGUGGUGCUAAUCCCGAAAGCCUCUCUCAGUUCGGAUCGAAGUCUGCAACCCGACUUCGUGAAGCUGGAUUCGCUAGUAAUCGCGCAUCAGCCAUGGCGCGGUGAAUACGUUCCCGGGCCUUGUACACACCGCCCGUCAAGCCAUGAAAGCCGGGGGUACCUGAAGUACGUAACCGCAAGGAGCGUCCUAGGGUAAAAC
rnacentral:rRNA from 1 species